UACGUAGGGGGCUAGCGUUGUCCGGAUUUAUUGGGCGUAAAGAGCUCGUAGGCGGUUCAGUAAGUCGGGUGUGAAAACUCUGGGCUCAACCCAGAGACGCCACCCGAUACUGCUGUGACUUGAGUACGGUAGGGGAGUGGGGAAUUCCUGGUGUAGCGGUGAAAUGCGCAGAUAUCAGGAGGAACACCAGUGGCGAAGGCGCCACUCUGGGCCGUAACUGACGCUGAGGAGCGAAAGCGUGGGUAGCAAACAGG
rnacentral:rRNA from 1 species